CUCAUUUGAGAAUCGUCAGAAGCAACACCUCUGCAACUGCUCAAAUAAUUGCUGAUCAGUAUUUGCCACAGAGAUCCAAACCUUCAAGAUGAAAUCCUUCCUUUUAAUCGUGCUGUGUGUGGUCUUGAUAGCCUCGACCCAAGUUGCCAUGGCGGGACAUGGAUGUUAUUGUGUGUAUCAUAACGACAAAACAUGCAGUGAUUACUGCCAGGGCGAACUCAGCUGUAGAGGGGGGUAUUGUGGGUCGGCCUGGUGUGUCUGCAAGUGUGUUGGUUGUUAAAAGUAACUGGACAGGAAGAAAAUAAACCAGACAACAUAACAUAUGCCAAAUGAAUUUCUAUUAAACUAUUAAAGCAUCA